UGGGCCUGCGGAAAGCCAGUACAGGUGGCUCGGGAAAGAUCUUGGAUAGUUUAGGAUGUUUUUCGAUAUCUUUCCAACUUUCGCGGAUAAGGUGAGACAAGUUGUCAAAUUUUGGAUGGUAAGUCAACACAAAAGGCACCCUCCUGUUGACCUUUUUGACUUUAUAUUGUAAAAGUUCAUCUCGGCUGAUGUUGCUAGCACGAGAAAAACCUUUAUCAAUGUCUUUCCUUUUGUAGCCUCGAUGUUUUAGGUGACCGCGAAGUUCUUGUAGUCGUUUUUUGGCAACAUCGUUGGUGGAGCAAAUCCUUUUUAUUCGUAUGGCCUGGCUGUAGGGAAUGCUCUUGGUGCAAUGUUUAGGGUGACAACUUGAAGGAGACAGAUAUUGAUGUUUGUCUGUGGGCUUGCAAUACAGAUCUGUAAAUAUGUUUCCAUCCCUCACUUGCGUUGUAGUGUCAAGAAAUGUGAUCUUAGAGUCAGAGAUUUCAUAUGUGAAUUUUAUUGAGGGAUGGGCAUCGUUGGCAUGUUGAAUAAACAAAUCUAGUUCUUGUUCAGUAUUAUCCCACUUCAUGUCAAUAUCGUCAAUAAAUCGGAACCAAGAGAGGGGUUGAUAAAGAAAAGAAUUGAGAAUUCUCUGUUCUAAUUUCCCCAUAAAAAUAUUGGCAUAAGACGGGGCCAUCUUUGUUCCCAUUGCUGUUCCAUUAACUUGGAGAAAGUGUUCACCAUUG
rnacentral:lncRNA from 1 species